GCCAGCCCCUUUCUGCCUUGGGCCCCUCAAAGUAUCCAAGUUCCAAGAGUUCAGAAGGCCACAGAAAACUUGCAGGACAGACUCACUAGUGAAGAGAGGCAGAGGUUCCGAUUCACAGUCCGAGGUUGUGACUCACCUAGGGCUACACAUCAGUAGUGAGCAGAGGUGGAGGGACAUGUGUAUCCAGGGGGUCAGUUUUUCGCCCUUCCUCAGCCCCCUUGCGUGGCCCACACCCCAGGAAGUCAGAGGCAAAGGCAGCAGUCUAAAGAGAGGAGGCACCCAUGUUCUAGAAGGGCCCCGGCACCUGGAGAGUGACAUGUGAGUAGGAUCCAGAGGGUGGAAAUGCUGGCAUGUGGGGGGCCUGAAGGAGAGACACUCUGGCCGCACUGGCUCAGUGAGAGGAGGCUUGUGGGUCCGAGGCCCAGCAGCCUGAGGCUCUCUCUGCUUGCACUUGUCUUCAGCCAUGGGAGAGCCACCAUCUCACUGAGCUACAGCCUCAGCUUUCCUCCCUCAGACCAGACCAGCAGCAGAAGCAACAGCAUACAUGACACCCAGUACAGCUACACACACCACUUUUCCCGAAAUAAAUCUUCACGUACUUCCCAUGUCCGUGCACAUACACCUCCUGAGACCACAGACACACAGAUGUCAUAGUCUUUUGCAGAAACUCCUGUGAAGAAAUUCCUUCUGGUAUG
rnacentral:lncRNA from 1 species